rnacentral:rRNA from 1 species
AUCGUUUUGGUCCCAAACCUAUCGUUACUUUUAAUCAAAAUUAUACAUGCAAGUCUCCACUCCCCAGUGCCGACGCCCUUACAAUAAUGGAGCAGGUAUCAGGCACACAAUAUCGUAGCCAAAAACACCAAGCUUUGCCACCCCCCCACGGGCCCCAGCAGUAAUUUACAUUAAGCAAUAAGCGCCAAACUCCUGAAAGCUUGACUUAGUUAUGAUUGCAUAGGGCCGGUAAAUUUCGUGCCAGCCACCGCGGUUAUACGAAAAGCCCGAAACAACGACACCCGGCGUAAAGCGUGACUAGAAACAAAAUCCCACAUUGAGAUUUAAAACCAGCUAAGUUAUAAAACACACCAAGCACUCAAGAAACACCACCAAAAUCUCAACAAAUGCCCCACUUUUGACUCACGAAAGCCAAGAAACAAACUAGGAUUAGAUACCCUACUAUGCUUGGCCCUUAACCUAGACAAGCCCCCCCNNACUACUUUGUCCGCCAGAGUAUUACAAGUGAAAAACUUAAAACCCAAAAGACUUGACGGUGCCCCACACCAACCUAGAGGAGCCUGUCCUAUAAUCGACACCCCACGAAGAACCUCACCCAUUCUUGCCAACACAGUCUAUAUACCGCCGUCGCCAGCAUACCUUAUGAAAGCCCCUAAGUAAGCAUAAUUAGUUUAUCACAAGAACRUCAGGUCAAGGUGUAGCAUAUGAAAGGGUAAGAGAUGGGCUACAUUUUCUAAAAAGACAACACUAGCAACACCAUGAAACAAGGCGUAAAACGGUGGAUUUAGCAGUAAGCUGCGUCAGACAGCCCAGCUGAAACCCUGCUCUGGGGCGCGUACACACCGCCCGUCACCCUCCUCAAACCACUUUAAANNCCCCCCCCCAACAUAUACCAUAUUUCCUACAUAAGAUGAGGCAAGUCGUAACAUGGUAAGCGUACUGGAAGGUGCGCUUGGACUA